GAUAAACAACCAUUCGCACCCACAUCUACAUUGCCACUGAGUGGGAAGCAAUCCCACACUGCUCACACACAAAGCAGGGUCAUGGGUGAGCUGGAGACUGGCUACGACACCAGCCAAACUCACAUUUACAACUAUGUUGUCAAUCAGGAGAUUUAAAAUCAGUUAUCUAAAUACACAUUGACGUGGCCCAAAGCUGACAUCUCGUCGGAGUCUUCCCUCAUGAGAAGAUCAAUAUUUUACAAAUUAACAAAUUCAGUCAACAACAGAGGAUUAAAUUGAUGCUCCGGGGGGGUGUAUGAUCCAAAUCAUGUGAAUUGUCCCUGAUUGCUACAGAUUUAUCCAAAAUCUGAGUGGGAACAAAAUGUAACAAAUGGCAAACGUGCAAACGACCUUUUAUGUAGAAAAACCUGCAGAUGGCAGGAUACAAUUUUAAAAACGACUUACUAGCGCAAUGAACUCCGUGACAUUUUGACGUUUUGACAUUUAAAUUCUGAUCCAGUUGAGUGAUUAAGAGGUUGCUAUUAGGAGUCCCGACAGACUGGUCGGCUUUACUUCUCCACAGUGGCUCUUAAGAGUGUGUUAUCGCCUAUUCUCUGUUCACACAUUUUUGGCUUGAGGAGGAGCUGCUUGCUGCGAGCAAGUGUGUGCACUGAAUAAAAUAAGUCCACUAACUUAAUUGAUUUAAAUUGUCUUCUCUUUUUGAAUGCACGGCUUUGGGAAGUGUU